AUGAACGCUGGCGGCGUGCCUAACACAUGCAAGUCGAACGGAGUCAUAUAACGGAAAGUUUCGGAUGAGGGUAUAUGACUUAGUGGCGGACGGGUGAGUAACGCGUGGGCAACCUGCCCUGUACCGGGGGAUAACACUUAGAAAUAGGUGCUAAUACCGCAUAAGCGCACAGCUACGCAUGUAGCAGUGUGAAAAACUCCGGUGGUACAGGAUGGACCCGCGUCUGAUUAGCUAGUUGGUGGGGUAGAGGCCCACCCAAGGCGACGAUCAGUAGCCGGCCUGAGAGGGUGACCGGCCACAUUGGGACUGAGACACGGCCCAAACUCCUACGGGAGGCAGCAGUGGGGAAUAUUGCACAAUGGGGGAAACCCUGAUGCAGCGACGCCGCGUGAGUGAAGAAGUAUUUCGGUACGUAAAGCUCUAUCAGCAGGGAAGAAAAUGACGGUACCUGACUAAGAAGCCCCGGCUAACUACGUGCCAGCCGCUGC
rnacentral:rRNA from 1 species